rnacentral:rRNA from 1 species
CAGCAUGGUCUUAGCUUGCUAAGGCCGAUGGCGACCGGCGGAAGGGUGCGUAACGCGUGAGCGACAUGCCCGUUGCCCGUGGACAACCGGUGGAAACGCCGACUAAUCCCCGAUGGGAUAUUGUGCCGCAUGGCACGAUAUUGAAAGUUACGGCGGCGACGGAUUGGCUCGCGUCCGAUUAGCUGGUUGGCGGGGUAACGGCCCACCAAGGCUGCGAUCGGUAGGGGUUCUGAGAGGAAGGUCCCCACAAUGGAACUGAGACACGGUCCAUACUCC